CCUACGGGUGGCAGCAGUGGGGAAUAUUGGGCCAUGGAGGAAACUCUGCCCCAGCCACGCCGCGUGAAGGAUGAAGGUCUUCGGGUUGUAAAGUUCUUUUCUAAGGGAAGAAGCAAGUGACGGUACCUUAGGAAUCAGCCUCGGCUAACUACGUGCCAGCAGCCGCGGUAAUACGUAGGAGGCAAGCGUUAUCCGGAAUGACUGGGUGUAAAGGGUGCGUAGGUGGUUUUACAAGUUUGUAGCGUAACUCCGGGGCUCAACCUAGGUACUACUACCAAAACUGUCGGACUUGAGUGCAGGGGGGGCAUAUGGAAUGCCUAGUGUAGCGGUGGAAUGCGUAGAUAUGAGGAGGAACACCAGUGGCGAAGGCGAUUUGCUGGACUGUAACUGACGCUGAGGCACGAAAGCGUGGGGAGCAAACAGGAUUAGAUACCCGAGUAGUC
rnacentral:rRNA from 1 species